rnacentral:rRNA from 1 species
CAGCCGCGGUAAUACGAAGGGGGCUAGCGUUGUUCGGAAUUACUGGGCGUAAAGCGCACGUAGGCGGAUAUUUAAGUCAGGGGUGAAAUCCCAGAGCUCAACUCUGGAACUGCCUUUGAUACUGGGUAUCUUGAGUAUGGAAGAGGUGAGUGGAAUUCCGAGUGUAGAGGUGAAAUUCGUAGAUAUUCGGAGGAACACCAGUGGCGAAGGCGGCUCACUGGUCCAUUACUGACGCUGAGGUGCGAAAGCGUGGGGAGCAAACAGGAUUAGAUACCCCAGUAGUCCCUGUCUCUUAUACACA